AUUGAACGCUGGCGGCAUGCCUUACACAUGCAAGUCGAACGGCAGCACGGGAGCAAUCCUGGUGGCGAGUGGCGAACGGGUGAGUAAUGUAUCGGAACGUGCCCAGUCGUGGGGGAUAACGUAGCGAAAGCUACGCUAAUACCGCAUACGAUCUAUGGAUGAAAGCGGGGGACCGUAAGGCCUCGCGCGAUUGGAGCGGCCGAUAUCAGAUUAGGUAGUUGGUGGGGUAAAGGCCUACCAAGCCGACGAUCUGUAGCUGGUCUGAGAGGACGACAGGCCACACUGGGACUGAGACACGGCCCAGACUCCUACGGGAGGCAGCAGUGGGGAAUUUUGGACAAUGGGCGCAAGCCUGAUCCAGCAAUGCCGCGUGCAGGAUGAAGGCCUUCGGGUUGUAAACUGCUUUUGUACGGAGCGAAAAGGCUCUCUCUAAUACAGGGGGCUCAUGACGGUACCGUAAGAAUAAGCACCGGCUAACUACGUGCCAGCAGCCGCGGUAAAAC
rnacentral:rRNA from 1 species